AUGAUCUGGACUGUGCAACUUGUUGUGGGUUCAUUCCGGAACCGAAUUAGUAAUAAGGAUUACCGAAAAUAUGUUGAAAAACGAUGAUCAGAAGAGAAAUCGUGUUGAAAUAGGUGAAAUCAAGGAACAAUUCGUACUUUUGUGACUGAUUUCUCGGUGGAAUUUUGGAAACAAAUGAAAGUUCAGACCCUAAAUCCAGCGAAUAGUAGUAGUAGUAG
rnacentral:lncRNA from 1 species